UACGGAGGGUGCGAGCGUUAAUCGGAAUUACUGGGCGUAAAGGGUGCGCAGGUGGUCUGUCAAGUUGUCUGUGAAAUCCCCGGGCUUAACCUGGGCAAGUCAGACAAGACUGAUGGACUCGAGUACGGGAGAGGGCAGUGGAAUUUCCGGUGUAGCGGUGAAAUGCGUAGAGAUCGGAAGGAACACCGGUGGCGAAGGCGGCUGCCUGGCCUGCUACUGACACUGAGGCACGAAAGCGUGGGGAGCAAACAGG
rnacentral:rRNA from 1 species